rnacentral:misc_RNA from 1 species
UGUGGGAGCGAGCCUGCUCGCGAUAGCGGUGUGUCAGCCGACUUCUAAUAGGCUGAUCCACCGCUAUCGCGAGCAGGCUCGCUCCCACA